AAGUGUUUGUGAUGAUGCAAUCUACCCGCGGCUAGACGGAAAGACCCCAUGAACCUUUACUGUAGCUUUGCAUUGGACUUUGAACCGAUCUGUGUAGGAUAGGUGGGAGGCUAUGAAACCGGAACGCUAGUUUCGGUGGAGCCGUCCUUGAAAUACCACCCUGGUUUGUUUGAGGUUCUAACCUUGGCCCGUGAUCCGGGUCGGGGACAGUGCAUGGUAGGCAGUUUGACUGGGGCGGUCUCCUCCCAAAGCGUAACGGAGGAGUACGAAGGUACGCUAGGUACGGUCGGAAAUCGUGCUGAUAGUGCAAUGGCAUAAGCGUGCUUAACUGCGAGACCGACAAGUCGAGCAGGUGCGAAAGCAGGUCAUAGUGAUCCGGUGGUUCUGUAUGGAAGGGCCAUCGCUCAACGGAUAAAAGGUACUCUGGGGAUAACAGGCUGAUACCGCCCAAGAGUUCAUAUCGACGGCGGUGUUUGGCACCUCGAUGUCGGCUCAUCUCAUCCUGGGGCUGUAGCCGGUCCCAAGGGUAUGGCUGUUCGCCAUUUAAAGAGGUACGUGAGCUGGGUUUAAAACGUCGUGAGACAGUUUGGUCCCUAUCUGCCGUGGGCGUUGGAUAUUUGAAGGGGGCUGCUCCUAGUACGAGAGGACCGGAGUGGACGAACCUCUGGUGUACCGGUUGUCACGCCAGUGGCAUCGCCGGGUAGCUAUGUUCGGAAGAGAUAACCGCUGAAAGCAUCUAAGCGGGAAACUCGCCUUAAGAUGAGAUAUCCCUGGGGACUAGAUCCCCUUGAAGGGUCGUUCGAGACCAGGACGUUGAUAGGUCGGGUGUGUAAGCGCAGUAAUGCGUUCAGCUAACCGAUACUAAUUGCCCGUAAGGCUUGAUCCUAUAACA
rnacentral:rRNA from 1 species